rnacentral:rRNA from 1 species
AAUAGAUACCCUGGUAGUCCACGCCCUAAACGAUGUCAACUAGCUGUUGGGGCCUUCGGGCCUUGGUAGCGCAGCUAACGCGUGAAGUUGACCGCCUGGGGAGUACGGUCGCAAGAUUAAAACUCAAAGGAAUUGACGGGGACCCGCACAAGCGGUGGAUGAUGUGGAUUAAUUCGAUGCAACGCGAAAAACCUUACCUACCCUUGACAUGUCUGGAAUCCCGAAGAGAUUUGGGAGUGCUCGCAAGAGAACCGGAACACAGGUGCUGCAUGGCUGUCGUCAGCUCGUGUCGUGAGAUGUUGGGUUAAGUCCCGCAACGAGCGCAACCCUUGUCAUUAGUUGCUACGAAAGGGCACUCUAAUGAGACUGCCGGUGACAAACCGGAGGAAGGUGGGGAUGACGUCAAGUCCUCAUGGCCCUUAUGGGUAGGGCUUCACACGUCAUACAAUGGUCGGGACAGAGGGUCGCCAACCCGGCGAGGGGGAGCCAAUCCCAGAAACCCGAUCGUAGUCCGGAUCGCAGUCUGCAACUCGACUGCGU